GACGGGUGAGGAAUGCGUCGGAAUCUACCCUAUGGUGGGGGGAUAACACAGGGAAACUUGUGCUAAUACCGCAUGAUGUCGAGAGACCAAAGCAGGGGACCGCAAGGCCUUGCGCGAUAGGAUGAGCCGACGCCCGAUUAGCUAGUUGGUAGGGUAAUGGCCUACCAAGGCGACGAUCGGUAGCUGGUCUGAGAGGAUGAUCAGCCACACUGGGACUGAGACACGGCCCAGACUCCUACGGGAGGCAGCAGUGGGGAAUAUUGGACAAUGGGCGCAAGCCUGAUCCAGCAAUGCCGCGUGUGUGAAGAAGGCCUGCGGGUUGUAAAGCACUUUUGUUCGGGAAGAAAACGGAUCGGUUAAUACCCGGUUCGGAUGACGGUACCGAAAGAAUAAGCACCGGCUAACUUCGUGCCAGCAGCCGCGGUAAUACG
rnacentral:rRNA from 1 species